AUAACAAUGCCCUGUCCCCUUCAUCGUUACACAGAGCGACAUAAUGUAUGACAAGCUCAGUGCCCUGAUUGAUAUCCUGGCUGAGGAGGCAGCAGUUGAGAAAAGUGCUACAGUAUGUGCAGACAGUGGAAAGGCAGAUGGAAAGCCCUUCAUCCCUCAAAUAGACCACAUAGCCAAGUGCAAGUUGGAGCUGGCCACAAAGGCCCAGAAUCUCCAGAAAUCCUUGAAGCUCAUCAUAUUCCAAGUUGAACAAGGUAAGGGUCCCAGAGUUGUGGCAAUUGAGGUAAAGGAAAGAGAAGGCUCCAGUGGAUGGUUUACUGGUCUCCCUCACUCUGGGCACUCCGGGUCUGCUAUUUGACUCCACUGCCAAAACUUGACUAGAUUCUCUAUUCAUAUAGUAUUCAAAGUCAGUCUUCAGACUGAUAAUUUGAAAAACCUCAGUCCUAAUAAGCUGUCUCUUUGGCUCCUCCUACCUCCCAGACACUCAAUCCUUGCAACUCAUUUAUUUUUGGAACUAACACUCAUCCUAAACAAUUACAGCUCCCAAGAGGUCUGGCUCAAAGCUCUGUCAGCUUCCACCACCAGCCAUGGAAUUUUUUUCCACCUAUUCCUGUUUCCUUCCAACCCACAAGCCUGUGACUAUUUUGAAAAGAAAAUAGUGUUCAUCUAUGCAUGUCUUAUAUAGUAUUAAUCAGGCACAAGGGCCCUGAGAAUGGUCCUGGGAUCUCUGGCAUUGACUGCCAUUUCCCACAACUCAUGACAUAUGUAAGCUUCCAACUCAGUAUGAAAACUCUUUAAACUCCUCCAAAUUCUUAAUUUAACAUUUUGGCUCCCACUUCUACCCACAAUGUUUCCUUGAAAAACAUAUCAGAAAAUGGUAUAAGACCAUGUGUUCUUGAACUGGUGGAGUUGAGAAGUCCACGUAGCAAUGAAGUCCCUUGGAUGGCCUCUGACUUUUAGCCAUGGCACUUUCUCCUGCCUUGGUUCCUUUAGUUACAGCCUCAGCAAGUUUCCAAAAAAGAAGGAAAAUCUCCAUUAUGCACUGGGAAUGAAGUAAACAGCUUGUUUGCCUCUAUUUCUGUAGUUAAGUUUCCAAGUGGGGAUGUACCCAUAAUCUUAUCACAACUAACUCUCAGUCUCCUCCAUGAACAUAUAAGUCAGAAUUAGAGGUGCAGCUUGUGGCCAUGGGACAGAGAAAGGCACAUCUAGUAGAAUAGGGAUUGAACCUAUGAGGUUUGGCACAGGCUGAGCAUCUGAGCCAUACAACAUAUACGCUGGUGAAAGGAAGGAGGCUUCUCAAAUAUUCUUGGAAUGGGUGAAACAUUUGGAUGAAAGAAUGGCAUGGUCUUAGAGGCUCAAGUCUGGAAAACAGUCCUGUGAGUAAAUGUAUUAACAAAGAUGAUAAUGGAGGUAGAAGAGCAGAGGGUUUUCCACCUUUCUCCCUCUGCCCCUGGCUCUGAGCUUCUACUCACACCACAUUUACUGAGUGAAAGAAAAAGAGUAACCAGUAAAAUAGAGAAAGCUCAAGUAUGGAUAUGAAGAGACAUGGGGGCAACACUGUAAGAAAGCUAAGACUACAAACAGCAUUAUGGAGGAGAGGAGAUGGUCAGAUGGGGGUCUCUACUGGCAUUAACUAAAUGAAAGAGAUGCUUAAGAAAAGUUCAACAAAUGUGACCAAUCCUCCUUCCUUUAUUUCUUCCUCCUUCCUUCCCUCCUUCUCUCCUUCUCUCCCUCCCUCGUUCUCUCCUUUUCUCUCUCCCUCCUUUCCUACCUUGCUCUCUCCCUCCCUUCCUACCUUGCUCUCUCCCUCCCUCCCUCUCAUCUUUCCUUCCUACCUUGCUUCCUCCCUCUCUCCUUCCUUUUUUCCUUCCACUUUUUCUCUGUAGUUCUUGAUGAGCAAAGCCGUCAGACAAUAUCGGUUAAGAACUUUACUUCAACUUUCUUCCUGGAAGAUGACUUAAAAGACAUUAGCCAGAUGAGCCCAAGACACCGUAAGGAUCUUUCUCUCCUUCUCUUAUUCUAUCCUUUAUCACUGUUUUCUAGUUCCCAUGGAAUUAAGAUGUGUUUUCAUGCAUCUUUCUUUAGCCAUAAUCCUACUCUGUGGUAGAUAUCUCUCCCUAUGUCCUAGAAACUUCACAGUAUAAGAUCCCAUGCCAAUGUCCAGAAGUAAUGACCUCAUUAAGUACUUUGAAAAGGCUGGCCUGAUGAAACCCAAGAUUUGAAGCAAGCAACCCAACCUUACUGUUCUCUCAGAGGAAGUCCCUGUUCAUCUAAGAUGAUCCCUCUUUGGAAUGAGAACCUUGAUUAUAAUCUAAGAGAAAGUCAUUGAGUUUGACCAUGGUUCCACAGAGAAAAUAGGGUGAAAUGCAAGUGGGGGGAAGGGCUUUCUUGUUUGUAUCUGACACCAAGGUGACAUCUUUUGUGUCUAGGUUCCCAUCAUGGCACUUUGUCUUCUAUAUCUUCUCUCAAAAGUGAAGACCUAGACAACCUCAAUUUGGAGCACUUAUAUUUCACACCUGAAACUAUGUAAGUAUUUAGCCCUACCACCAUUUUAUGACUUUUCCUUUCUCUGGUUAAGAGUAGCCUAAGGAUAUUGAGUCAAAUCCUGACUCUACUUACUAGUUGUGUGACCUUACACAAGUAAUUCAACCAAUCUGAACCUCAAUUUUCUCAUGUAUAAGAUGAAGAUAAUUGUAGAACUAGCCACAUAGGCUUCUUGUGUUUAUUCAGUUUAUAUACACACAGUACUUGCAUUGAACAGUGCUUAGCAUCCACAGUUAAGUACUAUAUGUGUUAACAUAAUUAUUGUUAUUCUUAUUGUAAAUACUUGAUAAAUAUUAGCUGUUGUUAUUGCAAAGGACCUGUUUUUCCAUUGUUGCCUUUAACAAUAAAUAAUUGGAGACACUAAAAAAUAAGUGAUCAUUUAGGGGGCUAGAUAGGAAAUCUAAAAACAUCUGUAUCACUAGCCCUACCUCUUUAAAAUAUUCCCAGGAGCCAAGUUCCACCACAUUUACUCAUUUUGAGUUUCACUAAGAACAGUUUGGACAUCACUUGGAGAAACUCCAAUCUCUGGACUGCAGCUGAGGGAGGCAAAUCUCAUGUGAGAGAUGUGGGGUCAGUUUAGUAUCAAAUAAAAAUAUAUCUAUGAGUAAAUAACUGUAUUCAUUUUCAGUUGCUCAAAAGAAGGACACAGUUGGUAGUUAAGUUAACUGCAGCUUCUCAUUUAUUCCUAUCUCCAACCCCCACUCCCCUCUAUUUCAUUAUUGGCUUAUGCUCAUGUCUGAGGUCUCAUGGACCUACCUUAUGAGCUUUGAUCAGUGGUAUGCUGCCAAAUGUUUAACAACUAGCUCUCUGGGGGGAAAAUCCUGAUUUAUUCCUGGUGCAAACCCUCCCACCAUGGCCUAUUUCAAGCUACUGAUAUAAUUCCAUUGAAUGCAGAGUUGGGACAUAAUAGGCACAAUCAGCUUAUAUGAGCUGGUACUAACUGGCUUUAGCACAUUACUGGUUUUGAUGUUGACACCCAAGGUGGUUGCAGAAGAAUCAAGAAACUGGUUGGCUUUUCCCUCAAAUGUGUGGUCACUUGGACCUUUGAUGUGAAAGUGGUACAAAGGAGUUCAGACAUCUCUGAAAACGGUAGUACAGACUUUACUUUCAUCAUACAUUUUUAUCUGAGAUACUUAUUCUUUAUGGGAAUAAGUCAAUGACUAUUUCCCUUUAUUAUAUGUGAAGAAAAUAUUGGCCACUCAUAUCUAAGGGCCUCCAAGGAUGAUUUCUUUAUUAUGAGUUUCAUGCCACUGAAUCCUCCCAACUGCUGGGUUCCCUCUCUUAAAGCUAACAAGCUAAUUGUUAACAUAAUAGGGUAUUUGUAUAUGCCUAUCAAGAGCAUAAAGUCUUGUGCCCAAUGUAAGGGAGGCCUCCCUCAGUGGUUUUCAGUUAUAUAGAUGAAGCCUCCAGCCUAAUGAUAAUGGCACUUCUUUCCUGCACCAAUGUCUGUCCUCUUCUUCCCGUUGGUGAAUUUAAGACGCUUCAAAGAAAGGUGUGUCAUGAACAACUAUUUUGGAAUUGGACUGGAUGCUAAAAUUUCUCUGGAAUUCAACACCAGAAGAGAUGAAUACCCAGGACAAUACAAGUAAGGAAAAGAAACUCCCCUCCCUAUAUCCAAACACACAAUCAUAAUAUACACAUAUCCUCCUACAUCCCCUAACUUCCAGACAAGAAAGAGAAAGAAAGAGGUUCUUUGGAAGUAAAACACAUUGGUCCCAAUGUUGGCCUAGUGUGAUGGCUUGCCCCAAAUGUUGACCUGGUUUGUGAUGACUCUGCACUGGUAUCCUGAACUUGGAGCUGCCUACAGAGUUUAGACCUAUAGAUUGCUGUGUAACACAGCUCAUGGUGUUACUAUUAUUGAAAACAGAUUACAUUGACUAUUCAGCAAAUUUCCUACCUUUGUUCUGUAUGUGAGAGCUUCACCAGGUCCUAGGAGUGGCUUAAGUCUGUUUUUGCUUGGCAAGCCUGCAAAUUAUCAAAGAUUUCCCUACUAGUUCUUGGUGUCCCUAAUCUGGUCCCCCUGGACCCACUGAUUUUACCUUAUCUGGUGUUAGCUUACUUGGCACCUUUUGGUACUUUUGUACUACAGACAUACCUAAAUGCAGCCUCAGAGUUCUUGUAAAUUGAAACCUCAAGUAAAAAAAAAAGCAUGCCUCCUCCCACCACCCCUGCCAUCUGCCACCAGAACCUCUUUCUCAGAGCAGACAUGGGCUGAGGAACAAGUACUUUAUCAGAUACGUGCUUUGCAAAUAGUAUUUUCCAGUUGCUUGUCUUUUUUAUGACUCAUUUUAUAGUAAACAUUUUUAAAUAGGUAUGCAUAGAUGUAUAUAGGAAAAGAUUUAUAAUUAUAAGACAAUGUUACCAGUGAUUAUUUCAUAGAGAUUCAGUUGCAGGGUAAUUUUGCUUUCUACUUUAUAUAUUUCCUUUUUAAUUAUUGAAAUAUAAUUGACAUGCAAUGUUAUAUUAGUUUCAGGUGUACAACAUAUUGAUUCGACAAUUCUCUACAUUUGCUCAAUGCUCACCAGGAUAAAUGUAGUUACCAUUUGUCACUACACAAUGUUAUUAAAAUAUUACUGACUCUAUUCCCUAUGUUGUACAUUUCAUCUCUGUGACUUAUUUGUUUUAUAAUUAGAAGUUUGUACCUCUUAAUCCCCUUUAUCUGUUUUGCUCAUCUUCCCACCCACAUCUGCCUCUGUAAACCACCAGUUUAUGUUCUGUAUUUGUGAAUCUUUUUUGGCUUUGUUUUGUUUUUAUUUUUUAAAUGUUUAUUUAUUUAUUUUUGAGAGAGAGAGAGAGAGAGAAAGCAAAAGCCAGGAAGAGGCAGAGAGAGAAGGAGACACAGAAUCUGAAGCAGACUCCAGGCUCUGAGCUGUCAGUGCAGAACCUGAUGUGGGGCUUGAACCUACAAACCAUGAGAUCAUUACCCAAGCUGAAGUCAGAAACUUAACCAAUGAGCCACCCAAGCACCCCUAUUUUGUUUUUAUAUUCCACAUACAAGUGAAAUUAUACAGUAUUUGUCUUUCUCCGUCUGAUUUAUUUCACUUAGCAUAAUACCUUCUGAGUCCAUCCAUGUGGUUGCAAAUGGCAAGAUUUAAUUCUGUUGCUUGUCUUUUUUUGUUGUUUAUCUUUUAAUUUUCUCAGUAGUAUCAUUUGAAAUACAAAAGUUUAAAAUUUGAUGAGUUCCAACUGAUCAAGUUUUUUCUUUUAUGGACUAUGCUUUUGAUGCCACAUCUAAAAAAGUUUCGUCUAACCUAAAGUAUCAAAAAUUUGCUCCUAAGUUUUUCCCAAAAUUUUUGUUGUUUUUGCUCUUACAUUUAAGUCUAUGAUCUGCUUUCAGGUAGUUAUUGUGUAUGGUGUGAGGUAAGGGUCUAGGUUCAUCUUUUUGCACAUGAAUAUCCAAUUACCAUAUCACCAGUUUUGAAGCUAUCCUUUCCCCCAAGGAAUUGCAUUAGCACAUUUGUCAAAAAUAAAUUGAUCAUAAAUGUAAGGUUUUUUUCCCCUAAACUCUCACUUCUGUUCCAGUAUUCUAUAUGUCUAGCUUCACACUAUCUUUAUAACUGUAGCUUUAUAAUAAGUUUUGGAAUUGGGAGAUGAAAGUCCUCCAACUUUGUUCUUCUUCAGAAUUGUUUUGGUCGUUCUAGGUAUUUUGAAUUUCCAUAUGACUGAACUCCUAUUUUUAUAGAUGAGAAAACUAGAUUGCCCAGAGAACUUAUGGUUUCAAAGAGAGCCCAAGUAAUUUUGUGCUAGCUUUCUUGCAUUUCAAGACUCAUGCUUUGUAGUGACUCAUCGUGGCUCUACUUUAAAAGCUCAUAGUAGGGCACCUGAGUGGCUCAGUCAAUUGAGUGUCCAACUCUUGAUUUCAGCUCAGGUCAUGAUCCCAGGGUCAUGGGCUCAAGCCCCAUGUCAGGCUCUGCACUGAGCAUGGAACCUGUUUAAGAUUCUCUCUCUCUCUCUCUCUCUCUCUCUCUCUCUCUCUCUCUCUCUGUGUGUGUGUGUGUGUGUGUGUGUGUGUGUCUCCUCGGCCCCUCUCCCUCACUCAUGCUCUCUUUCUCUCUCUAAAAUUAAAAAAAAUAAAAAUAAGUUUAUAGUAAACUCUAUCCAACCUUUAGAGUGAUUGUAAGUCCCCUGCCUGUUUUUAUCAGAUAUCCUAUAGUCAGUAGAACCCUGUCUUUCCCACCUCCUCCCCAAGUCUCCCGAUAUCCUUUGGCUGUCCCACAUUCUCUCCACUGGCUCCUCCUUUAUAAUCUGCCUAGUAAGCUUAGCCCUAUUCUAUAGCACUGAAUUAAGGGCUUGAUAUACAGGUCUUGGAAAUCCCUCCAUUUUCCCAGAAAGGUUACGCUUCAAAUAUAUGGCAGUAUAAAAGUCACAUGUUUCUAAUGAAAUUGAUCCCAAGCAGCUGAAAUUUUAUGCUCCUGGAAUGGCACUUUCCAGGCUAGCUGGUGUGUAUAAACCAGUUACGCUCAUAGCUUUUUAUGAGUAUUGCUUUCUGAAUAUAGCCUAUCUCUUCCAAGUCUGAGCUAAUAUCAACAUCAAGGAAAAUCAGCAAAUUGGGGGGAUGCUGGGGCUUCCAGGGUGCCCAGGAACCCGUUUCAGCAGGUGUUUGCAUAGGGAUACCCUUUAUAUUAUCCUAGCAUCCCCUCUUGUGUUCAGUUACCAUUUGACAUGACUCCUCUCUAUAAGAAGGCACUUGAAGAUGGUUCUGGCACAAAUAUAGACACAUAGAUCAAUGGAACAGAAUAGAGAGCCCAGAAAUAAACCCACAAUUAUAUGGUCAAUUAAUCUACAACCAAGGAGGUGUGAACAUGCAAUAGGAAAAAUUCUCUUCAACAAAUUAUGCUGGGAAAACUGUACAACUACAUGCAAAUGAAUGAAACUGGACCGUUUUCUUACAGCAUACAAAACAAUAAACUAAAAAUGGAUUAAAGACCUAAAUGUGAGACCUGAAACCAUAAAAAUCCUAAAAGAGAGCACAGGCCAAUAAUUUCUCUGGCAUAGUCUAUAGCAACAUCUUUAUAGAUAUGUCUCCUCUGGCAAGGGAAACAAAAGGAAAAAUAAACUAUUGGGACUACAUCAAAAUAAAAGCUUUUGCACAGCAAGGGAAAAAAUCAACAAAACAAAAAAGACAACCUACUCAAUGGGAGAAGAUAUUUGCCAAUGAUAUACCCAAUAAGGGGUCAGUAUCCAAAAUAUAUAAAGAAUUUAUGCAGCUCAACACAAGAAAAACAAUCCAGUUAAAAUGGGCAGAAGAUGUGAAUAGACAUUUCUGCAAAGAACACAUCCAGAUGUCCAACAGACACAUGAAAAGACGUUCAAUAUUAUUAAUCAUCAGGGAAAUGCAAAUCAAAACAUCACCACCACCUCAUACCUAUCAGAAUGGCUAAAAUGAACUACACAAGAAACAGGUGUUGGCAAGGAAGUGGAAAGAAAGGAACGCUCUUUCACUUUUGGUGGAAUGCAAACUGGUUCAACCACUUGGAAAACAGUUUGGAGGUACCUCAAAAAAUUAAAUAGAAUUACCAUAUGAUCCAUUAAGUCCACUACUGUAUAUUUACCCAAAGAAAAUGAAAACACUAAUCCAAAAAGAUAUAUGCACCCCUAUGUUUAUUACAGCAUUAUUUACAAUAGCCAAAAUAUGGAAGCAACCCAAGUGUCCAUCCAUAGAUGAAUGGAUAGAGAAGAUGUGUGGUGUGUGUGUGUGUGUGUGUGUGUGUGUGUGUGUGUAAUGGAAUAUUAGCUAUAAAAAAGAAUGAAAUCUUGACAUUUGCAAUAACAUGGAUGGAUCUAGAGAGUAUAAUACGAAGUGAAAUAAGUCAGAGAAAGACAAAUACCAUAUUAUUUCACUCAUACGUGGAAUUUAAGAAAUUUAAGAAAACAAAUGAACAAAGAAAAAAGAGACAAACCAAAAAACAGAUUCUUAGGUAUAGAGAACAUACUGAUGGCUACCAAAGGGGAGGUUGGGGGGUGGGGAUGGGUGUAAUAGGUGAUGGGGAUUGAAGAUGAGCCCUGAGUAAUGUAUAGAAUUGUUGAAUCACUAUAUUGUACACCUGAAACUAAUAUAACACUGUAUGUUAAUUAUACUUCAAUUUUUAAAAACUUUUUUAAAAAGGAAGGCACUUGAAGAAUAAGAUGGUGUCUCCUCUUGCUUUUGUUCAUUCAUUUAUCUUUAUAUUAUUCAACCUCUGACUAUCUUUCUCUACCUUUAUCUCCCCAUAGUAGCCGCCUAAAGAACAAGAUGUGGUAUGGCCUUCUGGGAAGCAAGGAACUUUUGCAGCGCUCUUAUAGGAAACUAGAAGAACGAAUACACCUGGAGGUGAGUGCAAAAAGAGGGCAAUACUUCCUGGACAUGGAGAAAGAAAAUCUCAUUACUUUGGGAACCAACUUUCCCCUAUAUCUUUUGUUCUUCCCAAGCUUUAACUCUGAUCCUCCCUCGCAGCUCAAGGGAGGAAGGCAUGAGGAUAGAUUUCCAUUUUAUGGAUUAGAAAAUGAUAGCAUGAAGAGAAAACAGAGCCCUCCCCCCAUAUCUGUAAAUGUCCCUUCAUACUGGUAUCUGAAGGGCCAACCAAUGAGAACUACUCUUUUCUUUCAGUGUGAUGGAGAAGCCAUCUCCUUGCCAAACCUGCAAGGCAUCGUAGUGCUCAACAUUACCAGCUAUGCUGGGGGUGUCAACUUUUGGGGCAGCAGCACAGCAACCACAGUGAGUAUGGAACAAGGAUCAGGGAAGGAAAAGGCUUAACCUCACUAAGGUCUCUCAUAAAGGGUAGCUGCACUGACUGGUGUAGGAAGUAGAUACUGGGGAAAUAGGAGGUAGACUGGGAACAUUUAUUAGCCCAGAUAUAUGAUCAGGGCCUUUGUAAAAGGCAAUUACCAUUCCAGAAUCAACCAAAGACCUCAGGAUCAAACCAAUUCUUAAUUUUGCCCAGACUUCAAAUUUUCUACUCCUAGGCCUGCCUGAAAGAUCUUUGAAAGAUUUCUCUCUUUUCCAAGGAGUUCUGUCAAUAAAACCUCCUGGGAAAUUUGCCAUGGCCCCUUUUCUCUGAGCUCACCCAAGGUUAUCAGGACAGUGGGACUGGCCUUGGGGAUUUAUGAUGCUAGAUUGGACAGCGAGGAACCAGCUAAGAGUUGUAAUCUCAAAAGGGGCUAAAAAUUAUGAUCUCAGUGCCCUUUUCCCAGAUUGGCUUCCUGACCUCAUCUCUCCCCUUUUAAUAUGUAGUUUUUCUACUCUUCAUGAGCUAGAAAAAUUCUCACCAGGAUCCUUAAAAGCAUAUGUACUUGUGAUAGAUAAGGGGUCUCUCAAGAGUGGAAUGACACAGUUUUUCCUCCUCAGGAAUAUGAGGCUCCUGCAAUAGAUGAUGGGAAGCUGGAGGUAGUGGCUAUCUUUGGCUCCGUACAAAUGGCAAUGUCCCGUAUCAUUAACCUGCAUCAUCAUCGUAUCGCCCAGGUAGGCAGGGGCUGGGUAGGUAUCAGAAAAAGGCUGGGCUUUGUGGCUACAACUUAGAAUGUGGAGUACUCCCACGAAUUAACUAGGUGUAAGAGUGCCAGGGUAGAGGGAAAUUAUUUGGUGGGUGGGAAGGUAUUGGCUAAGGUUGGAAACAGAGUUUGUGAGGAGCAAAAAGCCCAUAGGAAACAGAUGUUUUUCCCUGAGAUAAUCUGAUUCACAUCCUUGCCAGUCCUGCUUCAGAUACACAUUAAGGCCAUUACUGUGGGAUUAUCAGAUUGGUCUGUAGCGGUUACCUCAUUUUUCUCCCCCAUUCUCCCUCGUCUUCUGUGACAGUGCCGUGAGGUGAUGAUAACUAUUGAUGGUGAAGAAGGUAUCCCAGUUCAGGUGGAUGGGGAGGCCUGGGUUCAGAGGCCAGGACUUAUCAAGAUCAGAUACAAGAAUGCCGCCCAAAUGUUGACAAGAGAUCGGGUAAGAAAGAAAGUCUCAUCUUUCUCCUACAUUGUCUCAUCUACAGCUAUCAGUUGAGUAUUGAAUACUUCCAUCAAGCAGAAUUCCUCAAAGGGAGGUCUGCAUGCCAAUUAUAUCAGAGUCACCUUGGGUGCUUAUUAGAAAUGCACAUUCCUGGGUCCCACACCAGACCCACUGAAUCAGAAUGGGGGUGGGUAGUUCCUGGGAAUUGCAUUUGUAAACAAGCUCUCUGAGACAUUCUGAUAUAUACUGACAUUUGCAAACCACUGUCCAAAAGAAGAGAGUGAGACAAGGAGCUCCCUCCUUUGGUUUUGGACAGUUAUUCUGCUCCCUCUACUGCACAGAGUGCUAAAGUUAAAGUGCUAAAGAAAUCUUCAACAAGAGAUUCUUCAUUGAAUAUGGUCUUUAGGUUCCUCUAAGUUUCAAAAUGCUGCAUUCACAAAUGUCACCCAUUUAAGUCAAAGCAUCUAAAGCUAGAAAGAAGACAUUAAUGAUCAGAUAUUCAGUACUUAGAGGCUUUCUUCCACUCUAACCUGUGAACAGUCCAUAGAAACAGUAAUAGAGAGGGGAGGGGAUGUCUAGUUUACAAACUGCCUAUUUUGUGCUAGUCACAUGUAGUCUCUCAGGUACUCCCAACAAUCCUAUGAGGUAGAUACUCUUAUUUCCAUUUUACAGGUGAUGAAAAUGAAAACCAGAAAUGUUAAAUAAUAUGUGCUGAAGGUCACACAACCAGUAAAUGAUGAAGCAUAAUUCAAAAUUAAACUAGAUAUGUCUGGCUCUAAAAUCCAUCACAACAUGUGGCCUAGAUUUGGCAAAGAAGGGAGCAUGAAAGGUGUUCCACUGUCUUAUGAUUGUGAUGCCCUCAUAUAAGAGCUUCUGGAAGGUUAACAUCUAUCUGACUGAAGCAUGUUGUCUCAAGAUGCAGCACGGUAACAACAACAACAACAACAAAAUUUAAUAGUGCCUAGUAGGAAAGAGUAAGUAAAAUGAAGGAUAGAUGUGGAUGUGUGUAGAUGAGUGUAUAGCAGAAUGGAUGGGGUCCUCUUUCUCCUUUACCCACCAUACCCACAAAUAUAAGACUCACAAACAGAUCUGCCAUGUACCCUCUUAGCUAUAGCAAUCACCAGGAUAUGCCACCAUCUUCAUUUCCAGGACUUUGAGAACUCAAUGAAAAUGUGGGAGUACAAACAUAGUGAAAUUCAAGCUGCCUCUCAACCCCAACUGGACUCCCAGGAAUCUCAGGAUAGCCUCUCUGAUGAAGAGUAUGCCCAGAUGCAGCACUUAGUUCAGCUUGCAGAAAACCUCAUCAGCAAGUAAGUAGACUGACCCAAAUACAGGGCUGGGAAUCCCAAGAACAGAGAGGGACACUUGUCUGUGUUGGCUACUAGAGAGCCUGGCCUAAGAAAGGAGUCUUUUCCAGAGCCCUGAAGAUUGACAGGGACCCUGAUAAUCUAGGCAGAAAAUAGUCUUUGGCUUAGCAAUAAGCCAGCUUGAACCUCUCCCUUUAGCCCCAGAGAUGAGCUUUGAUCUCCUGCUACCUCAGGCCCAAUAAGACUAAGAAUAUUUAUCCUUGCCCUUAAAUAUCAGGAGGGCCCCAGAGUUCUUGGAGUCAGCUACCCUUCUCUAACCUGGUCUCCCACUCGCCCAAAGCAUCCAGCAUCUAAUUCAGGUGAGACAAGGAUCAAAAAAGACAAAUACCUAGAGAAGAACAGAAAUAUUUUCUGGCAUAGUUGCCUACCCAACUUGAAUACCCAGAGCUCUCAUUUCUAUCCUCAGCUCACCUCUCACCAGCACCCCACGUCAGAAGUUUGUUUUUAGAAUUUCCAGACCCAUUUAUCUGUUCUUGCUUUAUUACAGACUUACUGACCUGAGCAAGGUCCACCAGCAUGUGUCUGUCCUCAUGGAUUCUGUGAAUGCCAGUACUAACAUCCUGAAUGACAUAUUUUACAGCCAAAACAGUGGCAAUGAGGCAGGUGCAGCUUCCUGCAUUCCCAAUGAGGUAAGAAAGGAAGGGGCAGAUGAAGAAAAGGAGUCAAACCAAAUAGGUAAGAAGGUGAAAGUGAAGGAAAGUGAGCCAGAGGCUGGGUGGAGAAACUGGGCAAAUGAUAUGGCAGGAAACUGGUCUAUAGAGUGGAAGGGAGGGCAGGUAUUCCUUGGCUUGUUACAGGUCCAGAAUGGCUGGGUGAGGAGGGACAGGAAUCCCUUAGCAGAUUUCAUCAGCCUGAGAACUAGCCCUCUUCCUGAUAGCUAUCAACCACACUGGCCUCAGGGAAGAAAUAGCCAAUAGAUAGAGAGAAACUUGGCAUUGGCACUUCCUCAUCUCUGGUGGAUCCCUGUAUAACCUGUUAAGGCAAUGCCUGUCAUUGAAACCUGAGCUCCAGGCUGCCUUGGUUUCCCUCUUGAGGGUAAGGUCCAGAUUAGGAUACUUGGUGUUAAAUGUACCAUCCCAUGACUUUACCCAUUGCUGGGAGAUUUAAGUGAUUCUUUUAAAAAGUAACUUUAAUGCUAGACAAAUAAUACAAAAGGGCCAUAUAUAGGAUCAGGGCCUCUUGAAAUGUGGAUUACCUAUUUAUUUUAGGCCAUAUCUUAGUUGGUGGAGGCCUGGAACUCCAAGCCUGGAGUUUCUUUUAUUUAUUUUUUCCUAAUGAGCAAGUGAUUUGUUUGAAAAGUUUAUUUGAUUUAAGCUACUAGAGAAUUCUCCAAUUAUUCUGAUUUUUACUUUAUACUACAUCUUUCAUUUUAAAAAGACAUGAUCAGUAAAUUUAGGGUUUUUGUUUUGUUUUGGUUUUACAUUUCAGUAAUUUGGCCACAUUACAAUUUAAAGUAGGUUUUAUAAUUUGUUUUUGAGUGUAUCUGUUUUCUUAGACAUAAUGUAAAUUCUUGGUAGAGAUUUUUCUUAUGCUUAUUUUAAUUUACCACCACUUAUUUACACUCAAGAAGUCAAAGAAUCACUUGUAUACAAUAAAUUUGGACCCUUAAGUGAUGCUACUAUUAAGCUGAAUAUUUUUCACAUUCAUGAAGCUAUAAUGAAUGAAUUGGGAAAUCUACCACCCUUCUCUUCUGACUUAAAGAAUGCUAUAAAUUAUCAUUAGUUGAUAGAAUUUCAAGUGAAUCUUCAGGUGCCUAUAUAUUUGAAAAAUUAAAACAAUUGAUGGAAAACAUUAAUUAACAAAAAUUUAAUUGUCAAAAGUAAUACGGAUUAUGUAAUAUUUCAUUACAUGUUUAUAUCAGAAGUAAAUUUAUAUUCAGGCAGCUUAAUUUAAAAUUUUAAAAUAAUUAUGUUAUUUUGCAUUUUUAUAAUCUACAGGAAGUGAUGCAUUUAUUUUUCAAUUCCAAAAGUAAAAUAAACCUGAACUUGAAAUAUUCUAAGUUAAUCUCCUUUUGAUAGGCUUCUGUAUUUUUUUGUAGAAACACAAAAGUGGACUUUUCAGACAGCAGAAUGUUUUAGUACCACAUUUUAUACUAUGUGUAUAAAGUAAUAAAUAGCUAGCUUUUGCAUAUCCUGUGAAGAGAAUAAGCCUGGAGUUUCAAAAGAGAUGGUUGGACUCAACCGCACCUACCAUGGGGAAGGUGAUUGUAGUAUAUCAGCAACAAGUAGCAUCAGAUUUACUCUCUGGUUUACAUACUUCCUAUUUCACUAUAUCCACAGCACUUGAUCAAUGGUGCCAAAUGCCAAGGUGUGCUGCACCACUUCGUAGGACACACCAAUAAAGCUGUACCAGUAGUUGACACCUCUGGUUCUGUCAGUUCUGAUUGGUUGAUGCCCAUGCUAUACUAGUUGUACUAUAUUUUGAAAAUUACUUUUUCACCUACAGCCACAUCCUACUAGCCUUCUCCUACUUUCCUACAGAGAAGCCAGCUGCAUGCUUACUAACCAACUCCCCUGUCUUUGUCCUUUCCCUUCCGUUCUUUUCCUUUCUCUUCCUCUCAGACUCUAAGCAGAAACGAUGCAGUAGAUGUUACAUUUAGUCUUAAAGGGCUCUACGAUGACACCAAAGCUUUCCUGGAUGAAAACUUGGUGAGUGGAGGGGGUUGGAAUAAGGGAGGGCAAAGUAUCCCAUCUGAAGAUGGUCAUGUUCUAUGCUUGGUUCCAGAGUAUUGGAAGACAUGUAGGAACAUUUUGGCCAGAUGCUUACCCUGGAAGUCCCUGAUGUGUCAUCCUCACCCAGGAUUGUCAUUGAUUGUAUUGGUUCACAGGUUAUGCUAAACCAUAGGGACUACCAUAUCCUUGAAAAAAAAGUCUCUCCUUCUCUGACACAUGUCUCCUGGGUCCAGACCAAGCCAAUCAAAAGUAGGGUGUUCUCAUCAUACAUAACACAGCUUCAGUAGAAAAGGGUGAGCUCUUUUGAGUUGCUUUAAAUCUUCCAAGUUUCCAAAUACAUUUGUCACCAUGUGGGAAAUUCAAGGUUCAAAUCCAAAAUCUGCCACUUACUAACUGUAUUAGUUUCCUAAGGCUGAUGUACCAAAGUACUGAAACCUGGGUAACUUAAAACAACAGAAAUUUAUUGUCUAAUAGUUUUGGAGACAAUCAAGGUGUCAGCAGGGCCAUAUUCCCUCUGAAAACUGUAGGCAAAUCCUUCCUUGCCAUUGCCUAGCUUCUGGUGACUGGCUGGCAAUCUUUGAUGUUCCUUGGCUUGUAGAUGCAUUACAAUCCUUCAUCUUUAUAUGGUAUUCUCCCUGUGUCUCUGUCUUCACAUGACCAUCUUCUUAUAAGGACACCAGUCACACUGGAUCAGGGCCUACCCCACUCCAGUAUGACCUCACUGCAAUGACUCUAUUUCCAAAUAAGGUCAUAUUCUGAGGUACUGGGGGCUAGGAUUUCAACACAUCUUUCUUGCGGGGAGGGAGACACAGUUGAAUACAUAACACUAGCUGUGUGAAGUAACAUCACAUCUCUGGGUCUCAGUUUCCCUAUCUAUAAAAUAGUAAUUGUAAUCUCUACCUCUCCAGGUUGUGAAAAUUAAAUUAACUGUUGUAUAUUAAGUACAUAGCUAGCCUGGAACCUAGUACCAGCCUGAUAGAUGGUACAUUUUUAUUAGUGUUAGGAAAAAUGGACUGACACUCAGUUUUUGAGCUAUAAGAAUAGUUGAAUGUUUCUUAUAAUGCAAAGCCCAUAGGCACACUUCACGAGUGUGCUCUGAUGAGUCAACUGAUCGUGACCACCCCAUUUUUGGGUUGGCUGCUAAAGCCCUGAGGCAGGUGCUAUUCUUGCCUCUUAUCUAAUUACGGUUUAUUUGAAGAGGGGCUUCUGAGUUGAUAUUGAAAGAAGUGCAUCCACUUCCCCUUUUCCAUUUGCACAUCUAAUUGGCACACUGCACAGGUGGCAGAGUGGCUAAGGCAAUCAGGCCAGGCAAUCCUAGCAUCUGAGCCCAAGCUAGAAUCUUUCAGCCUUAAACAACAGCAACAGAAGUACGUUCUAUACAUAGGCAGAGCUCAAUGGCCUUUCCAGUCUGAGCAUCAGGAAAUAUGAGAGCUUGGCCUCUCAUUGCCACUCAGGCUUUCUUGAAGCUCAUGGCAUGAAAAUUGGUUUGUGCCAGCCAAUAACCCAAAUUGAGAAUAUACCACACUUAACACAGGUUAAAGGCCUGAUAAUGACCACACACACAUUACACACAUCUAAGUGAAACCAGGGGACAGGCAGCAGCUAAGAAUGUCCACAUAUCUCCAGAAAGACUAUGUCAGAGGUGGCAUGGAAAUAAAGCUUAUUUCAUUUUGGUGUUGUUAUUCUUCCCCUUGAAGAAAGAGGGCAGUAAGGAGCUCAGUGUUGGCAGAGUGAUGUAGACUUAUGAUUAAGUAAAUCCCACCCAGUAACUCCCACUUUCUUUAUUUGACAUCCUCACUUAUGCUAUGUAUGGCCAGUGAUGUGUUAGAAUAGGAACUAAGAAAUAAGCAACAAAGUCCUCUGAGUCACUUUGCACAUUUACCUCAGAGAAAAUUCCUGGACAAUGUCUCCAAUACAGCCAGAAGGAUAGGAGAAUAGAGCAUGAGAUUCAGUCCCACCAACCUACAAUAUUUUGAGCCUGAGUCUCUGGAUGCUAAAUAGGAAGUCAUUAGGAAGCCAUUUUAUUAUUCUCCUAUUAAGAUUAGAAAUCAUUUUCCAAGGUCCCAAAUCCCUAUUUCUUCUCUGUGGCUUUGGGUUGACCACCAAACCCCUUUUGAGCAUUGCUGGUAAGUAUGCCCCUAUGGACUCCCUGCCCCUUCUCCCUUACCUUGAAGUGAUAGCCAUUUCUGCCUGACACCUAUCCCCCAUCCCACUGCCAUCUGCAUACACAUGUCCCAUGCAUCUGGGCUACUCUGUACUGUCCUAAAUCAUUACUUGUAAAGCAAACACAAAAGAUUGUCAUCACUGACUUGUUUCUCUCUCAUAUCCCAUCCUGAUGGACCAUAAUCUCCAACCCCAUCCCCCACCUAUUCACCUGCCCCUCAUUUGUGACAGUGGGCAAGGCUCUGUUUGUGGCUGGAGGAUCAAGUGGCCCAUGCACAGCUAGAAGCCACAUAAAUGCCAGAUUGAAAGUAAAGUAUAUGACAGGGAGGAGAGGUGAGGCCAAGUUAGGUGGGCUGGAAAACAUGUCCGGGCUGAUGAUAGCAACAUGCAUCUAUUCUCCGAGCUCACUAAGGGAAAUUAUUUCAACUAUGUUGCUAGUCUAUGACUUGGUUCUUCUAAAUUGGAGAUGGUCCCAGAAGAAUUCGUUUUAACUCUCCAUAGACUCUAAAGUGUUCAUCCAGUGGGUUCUGUGGGUUGUUAGGGAAUGCUUAAGCUUUGUUUGCUGAACCUAUGGGAAAAGCCAUCUGGAUCUCAUUUCUUAAUUACAAACAGUGACUAGCUGGGGGCUAAAGCACAGCUUGGGGAGGCAGACCUUCUCCGCCAGAAAGGGAAAAUUUGAGCCAGUCUCUCUCUAGCUUUCUCCUUGCUUCACAAAGUAGCCUUUAAUUUGUGGUGACUGUGUAAUAAAGAUUCCCCUCAGCAUCUGACCACCCCACAUAUCCUUUCUGGGAAGUGUGGUGUAUAGGGUGGGCUACAGAGUUAAACAUAUCUGAGUUUCUGUCUAGCUAUGUGAUCUUGAUCACCAAACUUCUUUGAGUCUGUUUUCUUGCCUAUAUAAUAAGAAUAGUACCUUGUAAGGUAUUAUAAAGUUAUUGGAAAGAUAGAAUAUCAUGUAGGCAUAAUGUCUGACAUACAGCAUGUGUUAGAAAUUGGUAGCUGUUAUUUAGGGGGACACUUUGAUGUCUCCAGGGAUUUGAGGGUCAGGGAUAAGACCUUUGUUCUGGAUCCUAAGCUGUAGGAGUAUAACUCAAGUGUUCAUUGGUACUGAUCAAAGGACCUCUCUGCUUGCCAGACUGUGAGCAAGACCAGACCCAAGGAAAUCACCACAAUAUGGUUGUUUCCUGGAUCUCCCCAUUGAGAAAGUAAAGAGCUAGCUACACUUUCUAUUGACCCCAUGACCAAAGGAUAUACAAGUGCUACCCAAAGAAAUACCGUGUGGUCUCAUGGCCACUAGCAGGGAAUGGGAGUGUGGGAGACAGCCAGAGUUUAUGAAGACAGGGUGUUAAGAGUUGGACACCCACUCAUUUUCCUGUCUUUGCCAGCUGAGAAGUGCUGAGGAUGAAACCACACUGCAAACUACCCUGGAUACCAUGAAUAAGGAGUUUCAAAAGCUAUCUGAGAUCAACUGGAUGAAUUCAAUCCUUGUUUCAGAGGUGUGUUAACUGGGGAUUAGGAAAUAAUGAGGAAGAGGGAUUCUUCCUUGGUUCCCUCCUUUCCAGUGUGGACCAGGAGGACACAGUGACUGAUGUAGCAAAAGGCGUCCAAGUAGUGGCUUUCAGCUUGAGCUUAAAGGAGCCUCCUCCACCCAUCUCCUCAUCAUAAGCAUACAGGACAUGGUGGAAAGCACACUGAAAACUAGAUGACCUUGUGUAAAUAACCAAAAAGAAGAACUAUUCUGUGGCAGGGCGUUAUUGGGAAAGAAUAAGCAAGAUUGUUUUUUUCUGUGCUGUUCUCUGGUCAUAAUUCCCCUUCCCUGCCCAAUACCUGCUACUAGGAAUUAGAUUUCAUCUGGCACAUACAAUUAUGGCCAAUACCAGUUGUGUGCAUCCAACAUUUGUUCUAAGUGGUUGGUGCCCAGGCUAUAUGGUGGUUAAAACACCUCUCUCUGCUACUUCCUGUCCCUCCCACUCAGGGAGCAUAGCAGGCUCUCUCAGUGCCUUCCCUUAGCAGGUGUAUGGCUUGAAAGAAAAUCAAGCAUGGCAGCAGUGGCUACAAUAUAGCUGUGAGGAUGCUGUCAUUUUUAGAGAGAUCAGGAAAAAGAGGAAGACAGGUUUAUACUCUUCUUCUAAUGGAGAGGAUUGGAGGUAUAAAUAUCUUGAAAAGAAAAUCCCAAAGUUUCUUGGAUGUGUUUGGCUGAACUUUCUGGCAACAAAGUUAACCUGGGAAUUAUGCUUUAUUACAACUAGUAGUAAAAUAAGUACACUUUAGCAGGAGUGAGAGGACUAGGAGGCUAGGCUGGAAUUAAAGAUGAUCUGUACAGCAGAGAAUCCACAUUCAUAAUUAAGAGCUACGUGUGGAGAACACUCUUUGCAUUCCAGACAAGGAAUCAGGUGGCCUGUGAGGCAGGUUCUUCCAUAUAUGAAGUUAUUUGGCCAAGAAGUAUGUUGCAGCUCACCAAACCAUAUGUAUGGAAGAAGGGGUGCCUUUUUCUAAUUCAUGCAGAGGUGCCAUAUGAGCUAGCAGUUCUCCUAGCAAGCUCACCCUUCCAAUCCCUAUCCAAAUGACCUCAGGCAAAAUAUUUUACCUCUCUGAGCCAUUGCUUCCUCAUUUCUAAAAUAGUGAUGAAAAUAUCCACCUUGAAGGUUGUUUGGGGACUUAGAGUAUUUAUUAAAGCACUUAGCAAGGCACCUGGCAUAGAGUAGGAUCUUGGUAAAGAUCAUUUGCCUUCUUAGGGGAUGGGACUAGUUUCCAAUGCCUGGAUAGAUAGCAAAUCCGUCUGCUUUCUGCAGUCAUCCUUGUUCAGCAACUUGCCAGGUCUCUAGGAAUUGUUUCUGAAUGUUAGGCAACUAAUGUUGACCUUCCUCUUGCUGUGGUUUCCCAGGAAAAAUCUUCAGACACUGAUAGCAGAAGCAUCAAGUUGAAAGUUAAGUUCCUCAAAUUGGGGAAGAAGAAGGUAGAAGAGGGAGACAAGCCUAAAUCAGGCCAAGGAGUCCAGGGUUUUAUUGGUAAGUGCCCCCCACAGGCAUAGGGGUCAUGAAGACUUUCCCAGAAGCUUGGGAACCUCCCAGGGACCUAAAUCUCCCAUUAGAAAUAUUCAUGGGUAUGGUGGUAAUGGAGGAGGAGAUGGACUGGGAGCCAACCUUAGGCAAUGCCAAGCAGCCUCUUAGACAAAGUGUGAGUUAAAAAGUGAUAUUGACACUGGCAGUGGGACAACCUGAGAAGUAACCAUGCUGUGUGGUCUCUGUGAUACAGACAGCUGAAGAGAAAGAUGGGAACAGGCAGUUACUUUUCUCCUUGACCCAUUCCUGUGCUUGGUCAAUAAAGUAUGGCAAAAUAGUCAUACUUAGAUCACUCUCACAGUCAAAUACAGCUACAAGCUUUUGGUUGUGCUCCAGAAAGCAGUAUUGUUUGAUAUGGUUUGGGGGUAUCAGUGCUGGGCACCUACAAGGUGAAGAGUAGUUUCUGUGACCAAUCUAAACCUAUUCAUCUGUAAAUCCCUGGAAAUGCAAGUUUACUAUAUUUUAUCAUUUGAAUUUUGGUUUCACCCCUUCUUCAGAGUUGGACUUAAGUGUUAUUGAUAUGUCAGUGGGGCUCAAAAGAAGGUUCUAGAGUUGUCAGUUAUGCCAAUUCUGAUGUCAGUGGUCUUUCCUAAAUUUGGAGCCUAGACAACCUGAAAGCUUGAAAGAUAUACCAAUAAUGGACAUGAAAGGGUGGCUGUUUGUUUGUUUUUGAGGAAAUGAGAGUCUGCACAGAUGUCAAGAGAGAAUUUCUUGGAUCAAGCUAUGUUUUCUCAGGUUUGGUCUAACUGGGUUGAUUUCCUAAGAAUCUGCCAUUUGGAGACCAUGGUGUUUGAGAGUCUUUCUGAAAACUCUGAAGGGGUCAAUAGCAGUUCCAUGGAUUAUCAGGUUCUGAGAAUGCAUCCCAUUUGUGUUUGCCACACAUGGUUUCAGCUAGUAUUUUUAGAUGGUUCAGAGCCAGUUGGUACAAUAGGAACAAACCAGUCUGUCUCCUAACAGACUCUUGUUGGGCCUCUUUAGGGUCCACACAUUUGGGUAUCUGGCAAUGUGCUAACCUCAUUAUUUGUAUACUUGUAUUUUCUCUAAAGGAAGUUUGUGGCAUCGCAGAAAUCAUGAAGAUGAAGCAAAAGAUGAUGAUCCUCCAACAUCAAGAUUUCAACUGUAGUCCUUAAAAUCUGGAAGGAGAACUCACAAUGUUUAGAAUUCUACUACAAAACUCUCAAAACCUCAAUACAGGCUAGACUAAAUUAUUUCAGAACAAACAUGAGCACCACCAAGAAAGAGUCUCCAAUUCUUUACACUAAUAUGCUUUUCCUGGACUCAAUCAGGUCUCCUUAGAGGUUUACAUUUUCUCAUUGGCCAAAGAUUCUUGUUCCGAGUUGUCUUGUUCAGUUCUCCUCUGUGCAUCUUGAGCAACUACAGUAUUUAAUUAGGAUAAGCUCAUUAUGAAUGGCCUGGGAUCUACAAAGGAUUCAAGAAAGUUCACUUGUUCAGGGAAUUUGGGAAUGGUCUUCUCUGAUGAGCAGAGAAACUGUUGAUACCAGGGAAUGAGUGAAAGAAAGAAAUACUCUCAGGGAGAUAAGGAGAGGGGUGAGGCCAGCCAGGCUUGGUUGUUUCUCCCCCAGUUCCUGCCAGUUGCAAUUUGUAACUUUAGGAGGCAUCUUCUAGUUGGCUUAUUAAGAUGAGAACUAGGUCCUGGGGGCUUGUCCACUUGCCUGUUAAAAUUACCAUGUGAAAUCUUUUCUUGUAGACAUGGUGACUGCAUUCUCUGAAAACUCUUUGUGUUUUUCCAUGUGUGCAUGUACGUCUUUGCACAUGUCCAGGUGGUGCUCUGGUGGCUGGGUGGGCCCACUGGUUGGAACUCACCUCAAUGGCAACCAUACAGGAUCCCCUGCUACUGCCUUGAUCCUAGCCUGCAUGCCUCCAUGGAGUGUUUGCCUGCAUUCUUGCUGGGUUUUUUAACUAAAUGUUUUGCCGCUGUGCUGCAGUAUAGAUUAUGUACAGAGACAUAAAGAUGUGUAUAUAUAUAUAUUAAUAUAUAUAUAAUAUAUAUACUAUAUAUAUAUAUUAUAUAUAUAGUAUAUAUAUAUUUUAAAGAACUGAAAGUACAACUCGACCUCUAAGUGACCCUAUACUUUACUGUGCUAACCCAGGAAUCCUUCCCCACCUUGAUCCCACCCGAAUUCCCAUAACCAUACACCCAUAUACACGCCUCUACCAACUGCCCUAGUUCUUGGUGGAGUUUCUAAUAUUUUGGUGCAUUUUCAGCGUCUUAGAAGUGGCUGGGAUCUAUAGUCCAGCUGAUUCUGACGACCCCCUUCCAUAAAAUUCUGAGCCAGGCCACGGAAGGGGGAACAAAAACAUCAAUGCCCUAGAGAAGGGGCUAAGCUGGCAUGCUGCCUUGUUUGCUCUAUUUGUCCUGGACUCUACAUCAGCAACUGCCCCAAACUGUACUGUCCCCUUCCCCAGUAAAGACUAUAUGGAGCAACCAGGCCUUGAGCUCUGUGACUUAGAUGCCUAAGCUAGGGACUGCCUGACAAGUCACAGCCUAGGCCUUCCCCACAAGCUCCAUCUUGGCCUGAGUCUUCUGGACAGGCUGUUGGGUCAGUCCCCAAAUCACCUUCAAAUCUCCCAUCUUGCUCCUUUCCCUUGAGUACAAAGGGACAUUCAGAGUGAUCAGAAACAACACGGGCCUGGGAAAAUGGAGGCUAAAAGCCUCUGCUUCUCCCAUGGUUCCUCCAAAUUUCUCAUGGGAACAAACUAGGCAAAAGUUGCUCCAAAUCCCAAUUAGCAUUUUUUGAAUGCCUGCACCCGGUCAGGCAAAUCUAAUCAAACUCAUUGUCCAGAGAAGUUCUCUCUGGUCUCCCUUGUAUUCCCAUCCCCAUCCCCUUCAACUCAUACUUUUGGUAAGUGUCCCUUCCCACUUAUAAAGAGAAAGCCAGAAAACUGGCCUUUCCCCACUUCUCAAACAGCGUGCUCAAUUACCUGACUCAGUCCAUUGGCUGGUUCAUCGAGGUGCACAAUCCAGACUCCAAGCACUGGUUCUCAACUCUGGAACUCCACCAGCCUAGCCCACUUAAACCAGCCACCUGUGUUCCACCUCUACAGGGGUGAGGAGAAAAAUACUAACAAGGGGAUAGUCCCCAGACGUCUGAUUGCUAUGCCAAACAACAAAAAAGUCCUAGCUCUACAACUGGAGAAGAAAGUUAAUGGAAAAAGAUGAGAGAAAACAUUUAAAACUUAUUUGAGCAUCAGAAUAGGUUAACUUACUGUAUGUAUUUGAGUGGGGACUGUGCUGUUGCUGUGUCUUUGGCUUUCUCUGCAUCACUCUUUCUUCCCAGAAGGAGGUAUUAGAUCAAAUCAGCAAGGUCACCAUUGCAGCCCGACUUGGCUUCUCUGUGGCUUAUACAGUCUUGCAUACACAGUCACUCACAGAGUUGGGUACCAAGUUACAUUUUUUUUCUCAGAAGAGCCUUUUUCAAAAUGGAAAAUUUCCAAAUGAGCAAAUUUUGGGAAUCAGAAGGAAGUCCUAGGAGAAGCUAGCCUUAUCUUGGCAGUGCCUAAGCAGGGCUGUGUCUUAUAAUUAUUUUCAUCACCGAUGAUAGUAAACUGUAAUAGGGCUCCAUCUCUUGUGCCUACUUUGCUGACUUACUAUAUGUCUUUGUACACUGUAAGGCUACUGUUGCUCUAUGGUACCAUCUGGAUUCCCUUUCACCCAUCCUGUCCUCCCACAGAGUCAAAAUGAUAUUGAAUGAAACCACUAGGAUUUAAGGUUGAAGUCAACUCAUAGAGCAGAAUCAAUAGCUGAUGAGACCCAGGAGCAGGUGUGGCUUGCUAAAUCAUUUGCUUACCUCCUAAAUUGCCUAGUUACCAGUUGAUUGCCAUAAAGGAAGACAGCUUGCUGAGCACCUGUUCUUGCAUGUCCUGUCUUGGAAGCAAAGCAAGAAGUGAUCUCUUUCUCAAGGGGAGCUGGCUAAGCCUCUAGAAGAAUAAGCUCCUUUCAGAACUUCAUUGUUAAAUACUUGCAGUAAUACAGUCGCUCAGGUGGUGGAAUCAGACACCAAAUGUCCAUCUUAAUUAUGUUCAGAGAUGCCAUUAAGAGCUAACCUUCUGGGGUUUGGUUGCAUUUUUGGUAGUACUUUCUGAGGGAUUGAUUCAGUGGGCAAUUCUUGGCCGGAAGAUUAGUGGGGAAAGAGAAUAUCAAUAGCUUUGGACUGCCAUCAACUGCCUCUGCUGUCAAUACUACAGAAGGUCAGCAGCUUUCAGUCCCCACUCCAAAAAGGGCCUAUGCUGUGUCCAAAUGUGCAAGAAUAAGGAGGACAUUUUCAACUUAAAAACUUAGGUUUCAGGUUCAUAAGAAGAAACAGUUUGGGUCAACAUCAUCUUCCCUCAGGACAGAGGUAGAAGAACUGUAGCUUCAUAAGAGGUAGAAACUAAUACCAAAACAACCAAACCCAUGAGCACCAUUCCAUCCUGUAAAGAACCUUGACUGGCUAUAUGGUUUAUGGAAUUGGAUUUGUCUAUAUUUCUGCUAAUCUGUAAACCACGUUGUUUCCUGUUUUGUGUUUUUUGCUUCCUCAGAGGUCCCUGCAAAUAAGCAGCAGGGCCAGGGUCUGGUUGGGGGAGGAAACUAGGGUAAUUAGGGAUAGUAGCAAAAAUCAGAAAGAAAAGGUCCAAAAAGUGUGCCUAUUCCUCCUCCCCCCCCCCAAUGGAACACCAGUCCUCAAAGUUAAUAAAGUUUUGCUUCUUAAAAUAUUUUAAUAAAUGGAUAAAUGUAA
rnacentral:lncRNA from 1 species